AGAGUUUGAUCCUGGCUCAGAACGAACGCUGGCGGCGUGCCUAACACAUGCAAGUCGAACGGAUUUGAGGGGCUUGCUCCUCAAGUUAGUGGCGCACGGGUGAGUAACGCGUAGAUAAUCUGCCUGAUGAUCCGGGAUAACACUUCGAAAGGGGUGCUAAUACCGGAUAAGCCCACGGGGUCUUUGGAUUCUGCGGGAAAAGGGGGGGACCUUCGGGCCUUCUGUCAUCAGAUGAGUCUGCGUACCAUUAGCUAGUUGGUAGGGUAAUGGCCUACCAAGGCUACGAUGGUUAGCUGGUUUGAGAGAAUGAUCGGCCACACUGGAACUGAGACACGGUCCAGACUCCUACGGGAGGCAGCAGUGGGGAAUUUUGCGCAAUGGGCGAAAGCCUGACGCAGCAACGCCGCGUGAGUGAUGAAGGCUUUCGGGUCGUAAAGCUCUGUCGAGGGGAAAGAAGUGUAUUGUGGCUAAUAUCCGCGAUACUUGACGGUACCCCUAAAGGAAGCACCGGCUAACUCCGUGCCAGCAGCCGCGGUAAUAC
rnacentral:rRNA from 1 species